rnacentral:snoRNA from 1 species
UCUUCAGUAAGGGUCAAUUCAGACCUGAAUCUGAAAAUGAUGAGAUCGGGCGAUGAGUAAAAGUGAGUUACAACGCACGGAUCGUGAGGCCCGCAACUCCUCACGAAGCCCGAGUCUGAA